UACAGAGGGAGCAAGCGUUGUUCGGAAUUACUGGGCGUAAAGCGCGCGCAGGCGGCUUCGCGCGCCCGCCGUGAAAGCCCCCGGCUUAACCGGGGAGAGUCGGUGGGGACGGCGGAGCUUGAGGGCGGGAGAGGUCGGUGGAAUUCCCGGUGUAGUGGUGAAAUGCGUAGAGAUCGGGAGGAACACCUGUGGCGAAGGCGGCCGACUGGGCCGACCCUGACGCUGAGGCGCGAAGGCGUGGGGAGCGAACGGG
rnacentral:rRNA from 1 species